rnacentral:lncRNA from 1 species
GUCGUACUAUAGCCUAUACACUUUAAGAGCCCUGUCCAUAUACUUGUAUAAUAAGGACAAUCAAAGAAAAUAUGGUCAGGAGUUUCCAUUUUUCUCCCCUUGCACAAUGCACAGUCUAUAGUCACUAUUUUCCCCAUUACAGUAAUCUGUCAACAGUAGUUAACCUGCUAUGCAAAUCUAGCCAUAAAAUGAAUCUCUACAUGGGAAGUUGACUUUGAAUUAACAUUAGUCUACUCCAUUCAACCUUGGGGUGCUGAGGAAUCAUUCCCAAGUAAAAUUUCUUAAUAUUGUAUCCUAUAAGUCCACAGUAUGUUUGC